rnacentral:rRNA from 1 species
AUUGAACGCUGGCGGCAUGCCUUACACAUGCAAGUCGAACGGCAGCACGGGUGCUUGCACCUGGUGGCGAGUGGCGAACGGGUGAGUAAUACAUCGGAACGUACCUUAUCGUGGGGGAUAACGCAGCGAAAGCUGUGCUAAUACCGCAUACGCCCUGAGGGGGAAAGCGGGGGAUCGCAAGACCUCGCGCGAUUAGAGCGGCCGAUGCCUGAUUAGCUUGUUGGUGGGGUAAAAGCCCACCAAGGCGACGAUCAGUAGCUGGUCUGAGAGGACGAUCAGCCACACUGGGACGGAGAUACAGCCCAGACUCCUACAGGAGUCAGCAAGUGAUAAUUUUGGACAAUUGCGGCCACCCUGCUCCAGCAAUGCCGCGUGAGUGAAGAAGGCCUUCGGGUUGUAAAGCUCUUUUGUCAGGGAAGAAACACCGGCUCUAACACAGUCCGGGAAUGACGGUACCUGAAGAAUAAGCACCGGCUAAGUACGUGCCAGCCGCCGCCGUAA